rnacentral:rRNA from 1 species
UACGAAGGGGGCUAGCGUUGCUCGGAAUCACUGGGCGUAAAGGGUGCGUAGGCGGGUCUUUUAAGUCAGGGGUGAAAUCCUGGAGCUCAACUCCAGAACUGCCUUUGAUACUGAGGAUCUUGAGUACGGGAGAGGUGAGUGGAACUGCGAGUGUAGAGGUGAAAUUCGUAGAUAUUCGCAAGAACACCAGUGGCGAAGGCGGCUCACUGGCCCGUAACUGACGCUGAGGCACGAAAGCGUGGGGGAGCAAACAGG